CAAGUGUGCCUCCAGCAUGGGCUCAUUUGUCUCUGCUCUGCUUAAGCCUACACUGUCUGCACUAACUCUGCUUACUUACGGCUAGCAGAUACAGACAGAAAGCGAGCUUCCAAGUCCUACUUCACUGCCCACAUUCUCCACAAUAGUCAUGACUGGUCCACAAUAGUCAUGGCUGGACCCUGAGUCUUCAGACCAUCACUGCUUCCUCCUGGGGUGUGCAUUAGCAGCAAGCUGGAGACAAGAGUGGAGCCAGAUUCCAUCCCUCUCCUGAGGUUUCUGCUGACAACUAGCUCAGGAGGACAAAGGGAAGAGUACCACCUGAAAUAGGUGUAUCAACUUGGCCCUGGUUCCCACUCAAGAACCUGGAUGCAUAUCUUGCCAAGUAACUACCUUAACAGCUUGAUCCAGUUAGACCCAGGAGUUAGUUGUCAAUUGUGUGAUA